AUUGAACGCUGGCGGCAGGCCUAACACAUGCAAGUCGAACGGUAACAGGAAGACGCUUGCUUCUUUGCUGACGAGUGGCGGACGGGUGAGUAAUGUCUGGGAAACUGCCUGAUGGAGGGGGAUAACUACUGGAAACGGUAGCUAAUACCGCAUAACGUCGCAAGACCAAAGAGGGGGACCUUCGGGCCUCUUGCCAUCGGAUGUGCCCAGAUGGGAUUAGCUAGUAGGUGGGGUAACGGCUCACCUAGGCGACGAUCCCUAGCUGGUCUGAGAGGAUGACCAGCCACACUGGAACUGAGACACGGUCCAGACUCCUACGGGAGGCAGCAGUGGGGAAUAUUGCACAAUGGGCGCAAGCCUGAUGCAGCCAUGCCGCGUGUAUGAAGAGGGCCUUCGGGUUGUAAAGUACUUUCAGCGGGGAGGAAGGGAGUAAAGUUAAUACCUUUGCUCAUUGACGUUACCCGCAGAAGAAGCACCGGCUAACUCCGUG
rnacentral:rRNA from 1 species